rnacentral:rRNA from 1 species
GUGCAGCCGUACGCGCUCGCGCGUCUAGGUGAAACCGCGAAAGGCUCAUUAAAUCAGUUAUGGUUCCUUGGAUCGUACCGCUCAGUUACUUGGAUAACUGUGGUAAUUCUAGAGCUAAUACAUGCCGACAGAGUUCCGACCGUCUUCGCGGGCGGGAGGAACGCUUUUAUUAGAUCAAAACCCAUCGGGCUCGGUCGCUUGCGGCCGGUCCGACAACACUCGGUCCGCUUCGCGCGGGCCGACCAAGUGGUGACUCUGAAUAACUUUGUGCUGAUCGCACGGUCUCCGUACUGGCGAUGCAUCUUUCAAAUGUCUGCCUUAUCAACUGUCGAUGGUAGGUUAUGCGCCUACCAUGGUGGUAACGGGUGACGGGGGAUUAGGGUUCGAUCCCGGAGAGGGAGCCUGAGAAACGGCUACCACAUCCAAGGAAGGCAGCAGGCACGCAAAUUACCCACUCCCAGCUCAGGGGAGGUAGUGACGAAAUAUAACGAUACGGGACUCAUCCGAGGCCUCGUAAUCGGAAUGAGUACACUCUAAAACGUUU